AGACGUCUACAUUAGAUACCCCCGGUAGUCCCAGCCGUAAACUAUGCGCGUUAGGUGUAUCGGUGACCACGAGUUACCGAGGUGCCGAAGGGAAACCGUGAAACGUGCCGCCUGGGAAGUACGGUCGCAAGGCUGAAACUUAAAGGAAUUGGCGGGGAGCACCACAACGGGUGGAGCCUGCGGUUUAAUUGGACUCAACGCCGGGAAGCUCACCGGAUAAGACAGCGGAAUGAUUGCCGGGCUGAAGACUCUGCAUGACUAGCUG
rnacentral:rRNA from 1 species